rnacentral:rRNA from 1 species
AAGCUCGUAGUUGAAUUUCGGGACUAGUACGUUGGUCGUGACUUAGGUACGUACUGGUGUUACUGGUUCCUACCUUCUGACGAACCAUUAUGUCAUUAAUUUGGUGUGGUGAGGAAUCAGGACUGUUACUUUGAAAAAAUUAGAGUGUUUAAAGCAGGCUCGCGCUUGAAUACAUUAGCAUGGAAUAAUGAAAUAGGACGUUGAUCCUAUUUUGUUGGUUUCUAGGAUUGACGUAAUGAUUAAUAGGGAUAGUUGGG